rnacentral:rRNA from 1 species
UAAGGAAUAUUGGUCAAUGGACGCAAGUCUGAACCAGCCAUGCCGCGUGGAGGAUGAAGGUCCUCUGGAUUGUAAACUUCUUUUAUCUGGGACGAAACACUUCUUUUCUAAGAGGCCUGACGGUACCAGAUGAAUAAGCACCGGCUAACUCCGUGCCAGCAGCCGCGGUAAUACGAAGGGUGCAAGCGUUACUCGGAAUUACUGGGCGUAAAGCGUGCGUAGGUGGUUGUUUAAGUCUGAUGUGAAAGCCCUGGGCUCAACCUGGGAAUGGCAUUGGAAACUGGGCAGCUAGAGUGCGGUAGAGGGUAGUGGAAUUCCCGGUGUAGCAGUGAAAUGCGUAGAGAUCGGGAGGAACAUCUGUGGCGAAGGCGACUGCCUGGACCAGCACUGACACUGAGGCACGAAAGCAUGGGGAGCAAACA